AUGGAGCAGAGCACACACUGUAAUAACACACCCACAUUAUGUGUGUGUGUUAUUACAGUAUGUGCUCUGCUCCAU